rnacentral:miRNA from 1 species
UGAGAACUGAAUUUCAUGGACUG